GUGUGUUAGUGCACAAUCAUCACAAGUUAUACCAAAAAUCAAGUUAGUAACUAAAGAUCAUUCUUCAAUCUAAUCAAUUUAUGGGCCAAUAUCGACAACUUAGGUAUAUAAAUAUGCCUAAGAUCAUGGCAUACCAUUUGAACAUGAGAUUGAGGAAUCAUUGAGUAACAUGAAUAAUGGUUAUGAAGAAUGGAUUGGUGAAUUUGGUGAAAGUCAUGACCUUCAUGUUGUUGCUCUAAGCUUUCGAUUACUUAGGCUACAAGGUUACUAUGUCUCAUCUGAUGUUUUUAGAAAGUUCACCGAUGACCAAGGAAAUUAUUAAAAAGCAAUGGUUAACGACAUGCAAGGAUUAUUAAGCUUGUACGAGGCAACACAAUUCAGAGUACAUGAUGAAGAAAUUUUGGAUGAAGCCGUUAAUUUCACCACCACUCUCAUUUGAAGUUAUUGUUGCCUAAAUUGAGUAAUUCUCUAUCUAUGCAAGUCAGCUAUGCCCUAAAGUAUCCAAUAAACAAAAUUAUAGCCAGGGUAGCAACUAGAAAACACACAUCGUUUUAUCAAGAAGAUAAAUCAUGUGAUCAAGUGUUAUUGAAUUUUGCAAAACUGGACUUCAAUACAUUGCAGAGGAUGCAUAAAAGGGAGCUAUGUGAUAUCACAAGGUGGUGGAAAGAAUUGAACUUGGCAAAUGAACUACCUUUUGCAAAAGACAGAGUGGUUGAGUUGUACUUUUGGUCUUUGGGUGUGUACUUUGAGCCCCAAUAUAAUGUUGCCAGAAAUAUACUAACCAAAGUGUUAUGUUUCGCUUCAAUUACUGAUGACAUCUAUGAUACCUAUGGAACACUGCAUGAACUUACUCUCCUCACAAAUGCAAUAGAAAAGUAGUAUGUUUUUUUUUUGGAAACAUUAAAUAUACUAUAUCUACGUUUCAGUUUAUUUUCCUAACAUUUCUUUUUAGUCCAUCCAAAGGACAAUAUAUUUUUUUAAUAAAAUAAUGUUGUGAUAUUAUUGAUUGUGUAUCUUGCUAGUUACCUUGUGAUAUCACAUAGCUCCCUUUUAUGCAUCUUCUGCAAUGUAUUGAAGUGCAAUUUUGCAAAAGUUAAUAUCACUUGAUCACAUGAUUUAUCUUCUUGGUAAAACGAUAUGUAUAGCAAAUGUAUUGAAGUGCAAUUAGGAGUCAUAAU